CAUUAAAAAGUUGAAACAACCGUUGCAAGUUAAAGCACAGAGAAUAAGACAAUAUAAAAAGAGACAAAGGUUCUUCUUGAGAAAGAAGAAGAAAACACCCAAAAAAAUUCUACCGAGAACUGGUACCACUUACCUUCUCCCCAGAAAUGAGGAAACCAACAACCCCAAAAACUACCGGCCUAUCACAUGCCUUCCUACAAUGUACAAAGUCCUAACAUCCUUAAUAACCGCUAGAACCUUCAAGCACCUGGCAGACAACAACCUACUACCAAUGGAACAAAAAGACUGUAGAAAAGGGAGCUACGGAUCCAAAGACCAGCUGCUCAUAAAUAAGGCUAUAAUAGAAGAGGAGAAAAGCUAAGAAAAAGAACCUUACAACAGCUUGGGUUGACUAUAAAAAGGUGUUUGACUUUAUCCCCCAUAGAUGAAUAAUAAAGUGCCUAGAAAUGUACAACACCUCGCCUAUCUUGACAACCUUUAUCAAAACAAACAUGACACAAUGGAAAACAACCCUCAAAAUCAACCACAACGAGGGAACUUUAAUAUCCAGACAGAUCAAUGUCAACAACAGAAUUUUCCAAGGAGACCCUCUCUCACCUCUUCUGCAUUGCUCUUGCUCCACUGUCCUCUCUUCUGAAUAACAGUGCCUAUGGUUACAAGACAGGCAACAUUGUCAUCAACCACUUACUUGCCAUUGCAAAGGCUUUAAUGAUGACAAUAGAAUGGAGUUCAGCCUUGACAAGUGUGCUAAAGCUACUUUCAAAAGAGGCUAACUAACCAACGCUAAAAAUAUCGCGAUUGCUCCAGAUAACACCAUCCAAGAUAUAGAAAAAGAAGGCACAUACAAAUACCAUGGUGUGAAUGAAAGAGAUGUGAUACAACACUCACACACUCCGAAAGUCCGAAAAGAGUACUACAGACGAAUACGACUGUGGCUUAAAUCAGAACUGAAUGCCAUCAACAGAAUAGAUGCAAUCGACACCCUCACAGUCCCAGUCGUCACCUACAGUUGCAACAUCAUCAAGUGGAAACUGGAAGAACUAUAGAAGCUAGACCAUAAAACACGAAAACUACUGACAGCUGAAAAUAUGCACCACCCUAAAGCAGAUGUGGAUAGGCUUUAUACAUACCAAGAACAUCAGGCGGUAGGGGCUUUAUCCUAAUUUAGAUGGUAUACAAGACAACGACCAUCGGUCUUGACACGUAUUUGAACACCAAACAGGACUGUCUACUUAUGAUUGCUAGAAACCAUGAAAGAACGAAGAAAACAUUAUCAGUACAUCAUGAAGCUGACAAAUACAAAAGAGAACUCAAUACACCAGAAAUUGAAAUCAUGGAAAGUGAGCCAGCCACCAACUAUGCCCGAAGAAAAAAAAGUUAAGGAAAAGCCAAACAGUAAAUGGGAAGAAAAACCUCUACCCAAAAUGAGUCAAAGUCAAAGAUGUGGAUCCAGCUCAAACCAACCAAUGGUUAAGAACAGCAGGACUAAAAUCUGAAACUAAAGGGUUUAUUAUUGCUGCUCAAGACCAGUGCAUUAAGACCAACUAUUAUCGGAAUAAGAUUCUGAAAGAUGGUACUUGCCCAAUGUGCAGGAUAUGCAACAACCACCAAGAGACAAUAAAUAAAAUAAAUCUAAUCUUGGGCUGCCCAAUACUGGCCAAAACAGAAUGUAUACAACGGCACAACAAAACAGCAACAUACCUCCAUUGGGCAAUCUGUAAGCACUACAACAUCAAAGUAAAGGACAAAUACUAUGAGCAUGAGCCAUCAACUGUAAUAGGCAAUGAUGAAGCUACUAUAAUCAGGGACAUGCCAAUUCAAACUGAUAAAGAAACCAAGGCCAACAGACCCAAAAGAGUAGUAAAGGACAAGGAGAGAACUUGUCUGCUCAUCAACACGUCUGUCCCCACUGAAACAAACACCUCCCUGAAGGCCACAGAAAACUCUCCAAAUAUAAAGAUCUGGAGAAAGAAAUUGAAAGAAUACGGGAGAUGAAAAUACCAACAAGGUGCUCUUGGUCUAGUAAAGAAAGGGAUGGAAAGUACACCAACAAAUCCCUGGCAUCUCAAAGAUACAAGAAAUCCAGAAGAUUGUCCUCCUCAGCACUGCUCACAUUUUAAGGAGGGCAUUAUCCAUCAAAUAAAUCCAUCAUACCCUCAUUGCCAGGGUGUUAUUGUCAGGAGUGGCUCUGCCUUCUACCCAGCUUCUCGUUUCUUGUGUUUUCCCCUCCCUGCUGUCUUUGUCUGUCUCUUUCAGUCUGCAUAUGUUGUGGGUUUUUUCUCCUGGCUCCCUCUCUCUGGCUCACCACCUGCAGCUCCACUCACCUGAGGCUCAUCAACAAUCAACCCACUCUGUUAAAACCCUGGCUCUUCAGUCACUCUCUGCCAGUUUGUCAUUUAACCUGUGUGUGAGACCUCAGUUUGGAGACAGUGCCUGCCAGCCUGGAGAGAGCCCUGUCUUUGCUACUACAAUCCCAAAUAAGCCAGAGACUCUAGCUCCACCCAGCCUGCUCGCUUCACCACCUCAGUCCUGCUACCUGUGUUUUGAAUAAACCUGUAUUAACAUUCA